rnacentral:rRNA from 1 species
AUGUCCGUGAGGUCUGAACAAAUGCAACAAAUUUGUAUGUACAGUAUGCAAAAUCAUAUGAUUGCUGAAAAUGGACCAUCAUAUAUACCUGUAAGAGGUUGGGGAAGGCACGGUCAGCGUUGGUGUUCUGGUGCAGAUCGCCGGGGCCAGAAGAGAGGAGAGGUCGUCAUGUCGAGCUCGCGGGGAGAGGCGGCCGAUGACUUUCGCACCGGGAAGGGAGGUCGGGGAUGGGCGGUGGCCUCCUGUACCACCUCAGCAGCUCAGCUCCAUCUCAUCCACAUUGGAUGGCACCGGACAGGGAGGUGGCCGUGA